CCUCGCUCCCUCCCUCCGCCGCCGCCGCCUUCGGAGCUCCGCCUGCGAGGAUGCGAUGGAGCCUCCGCUGCUGCGCCGCGGGAAGGAGAGACGCGCGGGGAACGCUGCUCCGCGCCACUUGCCGCGAGACGGGGGACGCGGGGAGGAGGAGGAAGGAGGGGUCUGAACAAGAGAGGAGGGGAUGGAGCGUACUGCGAGUUUUCUUGCCCUUGCAGUAUUUCCCCCUGUGCCUUUUGAAUAACCCUCACGCCUGCCCCUACAGCUCAAUGCGAGUGAUAGCCAACAGUGGGUCUCAGAGUAGGACUAAGGUUGGACAUCACUAGGAUCUUAGUAGGCUCCCUCUGUUGGCAAAGGACACUCUAACCAACGUCACAACUGGAUAAAUACAGGUACAGGAUCCAUCCCACCACUUGUUCUGUGAUAACUUGAAGAGUGGCCCAGCGACAGUCACCUGGGUGCACCCAGCUGUUCCUCCAAAGAGUGGUUAACCUGCUUGCUCUGGGCAGUUUCCUCUAUUCUUGCAAGGUUCGUGAGAGAAGGUGCAAAAGUUGAUGGUGCUCCUAACAUAAAGCAACAGUAUCUCCCUUCUGAUCCGACUCGCAGGCAAUAAAACAGUCUGGGUUUUAUUGUUACAGGAUGCAGUAGAGAGCAUUCAAGAAUAGCCUCAAACUGAUCAGAGAAAUAUUGAGCAUGAUAUUUCCUACAUACGCAGGCCGCCCUUGGCUUCAUGAAGAUCUGCCCUGCAACAUGCCCACUCUCUGUGCUGCUGGAAACACCUGGGCAACACAAGUUUGGGCAACGCAACUUUGAGCCAUUUUGAUGUUGCAAAUGGAUGCUAAGAUUUAUUUCUUGUUCUCAACUGGAUCUACAUAACCGCCCCAUAACAUAAGUUCUCUGGGCAGCCUGCAAAACUCAUAUAACAAUUACAAUGCAAUAUGAAACAGCGCGGGUGGCGCUGUGGGUAAAACCUCAGCGCCUA